UACCAAAAAGUUGUUAAUUAUGCCUGUGCGGAUAUAUAAACAAGAAACCUUGUGGGAUUGGGAGGAACAUGGGUAGAGAUUGUUGGGGGGCAUUGAAAGAGCCCUGGAGAGAGCCCUGGGAGAACACAGGAGUAACAAAUGGGACCCGAUGACCAGACAUCAUUCCCCUGUCUGCCAUGACUCCCACAGGGAACAUCCCCUCUCCCCAAGUUUGGAUACUCAGAGCCACUGACCCUUACACAGAGGACUUCCAAUAGCUUCACCAGCAGCCAGGCCUGUCACCACCAGUGGUUACCACGCUGAUCAGCUCACACUUUUCUGGGCUCUACUCACUCAGACACCUUGACCCUUGUCAUCCUUUCAGUC